CAGUCGCCACGGUAAAACGUAGGUCCCGAGCGUUGUCCGGAUUUAUUGGGCGUAAAGCGAGCGCAGGCGGUUAGAUAAGUCUGAAGUUAAGGGCUGUGGCUUAACCAUAGUACGCUUUGGAAACUGUUUAACUUGAGUGCAAGAGGGGAGAGUGGAAUUCCAUGUGUAGCGGUGAAAUGCGUAGAUAUAUGGAGGAACACCGGUGGCGAAAGCGGCUCUCUGGCUUGUAACUGACGCUGAGGCUCGAAAGCGUGGGGAGCAAACAGGAUUAGAUACCCGCGUAGUCCCUGUCUCUUAUACA
rnacentral:rRNA from 1 species